UAUGUCCGAUGUAGGUCCAUUGAUUGCAACUGUCGAGUGAUAACUCUUGGUAGUAUCCUUCAUAUAUCUAAACUUAGCGAAUCUAUAUCUAAACAUCGAUGAUCGAUCGUCUAUUUUUUCAUAUUUUUUACAAUGACACUUAAUCUUUCUCUCUCUCUUCCUCCCUCCCUCCUCUUCCUCUUAUUCCCUUCCUCUCUCCUUCUCUCUCUCUCUCUUUCUCUCUCUGCCUCUCUCUUUUUCUCUCGUACGGAUAAUAGCAAGAAAUAGAAUAGCAAAUUCGCCAAUUAGAAAAUUCGAUUAGAAUUGUCUCUCUUUAAUAUCGAAAUCUGUUAAGUACCAUGGACGGUUUUAACCCGGAAAACUUCAUGUACGCAUUCUCAUUAGGUCAAUACACAAUUCAUAAGAAAGAUAGCUAGCAUUAUCAAAGCGAACAACAUACGUAUGUAUACAUGCGAGUGUACUCGUGAGUGAGAUCGACUUUCUUGACUUUACACACUUUCAUCCGAUUGAACCAGACCAGGAUAAUGGGCGAUCUGACGGAAGUGUCCGUGUCAAGAUUUAUUUUCACCUUGCUGUGACCGGUAAGGAACAUGCAAGAAACUGCGCGUCGUUAUUACACGCCGCUGCCGGGGAAGCAAAGGGAUGAAGAGCGUUUGAAUUCGUGCUUCGUGAAUUCGAGCGAGAUCUCUCUACGACGGAAUUCUCAGUUACUCGGUGGCGAUAGAAUAUUCGCAUCACAGGACGCAAUGUCCGCUCUCACCCGUGUAAAUGUAGCGUUAUUUUUUCAUCCUAUCUAAAAGAUGGGAAAAGAUCGCAGCAUGUGUCUUUUCGGUAUAUUUUGGAACAGACGAAAGUCGUGAGAAAAGCUUUCCUCUGAAACUCAUAAAAUUGUAACUCGCCUUAAUCGUUCCACUGACGGUUAUACAUGUAAAUCGGAACGUAUAAAAAUUGAGAUGCGUGUGCGAAGAUCACGAGCAGAAUUAUAUCAGAAUUACGGGAUAACUAACAUAUAAUUUAGUACUGGAUAUCCGAUUUUAAUGCUUAAGCAGCUUCAUCGAAAAUUUUGCCUUUUUGUACAAGUUUGAUUACGCUGUGUAUACUAGUAUAUUUGUUAAAUGUUAAAACAAUGGCAUGUUUUUGUAGUUAAUUACAAUGACAGCGUCACGGAAACAUAUGUGAUGUUGUAGCAAUACUGAUAACGGAGUACUGAUAACAGUACUGAUAAUGUUCUCUUGCUAAAAUAUUGACAAAAGUUCACAAACAACAACGACGAGUAUUUAGUUAUGGAAUAAUCUGUUUUCAUUAAAUGUAAUAAAAAGUCAAAUUUUGUGAGUUGAUAAAAAAAUCUCAAAAAUCAUUCAGAAAUCAAGCUCAACUUUUUAACCGACCUGAUAUAAACGAUUGACAAGAAUUUCUUCUGUAAAGCUUCAGAUUUCUGAAUGUCGCGAUUGAAAACAUGAGCAUUUUGAAAUCCGUUUUUAUUCUUUUUCUCUCUUGUCGCUUGUCUUUUUUUUACAAUAGAAUCGACUGAUAUUAUUUAUAGAUACGACGCGCAAAUCGAUUAUUACAUCUGGUCAAAUAUCUUAGGUAAACACGUACAGUUGCGAAUAAUAAGGUUGACUGACUCCAGCUUCACGCGAUUCAGUUUCUGAGUAUGUCCUAACUGAAAGUGAGAUAAGAGAGGAAGUGAAAUGUGUGAAGUUGAAACCAGUUAACCUUAUUGUCCGUAACUGUACAUACAUAAUUACUAUCACAUAUCUAACGAUUACAAAAGAACUGCAAAAGUAUCGUUCAUUCAAAGUGAUAAAAAUACUAUUGGCUAAUUAAGUGCUACAACACAUUACUUCGAUAAGUUUCGUGACGCACUCCGUACGUCAGUACGAGAAUGUUUCUCAGUAAUUCUUAAGAGAUAUAUUUUCCUGUUGUAUAUGAAACAUGUUGCAAUAUUUAAUGAGAAAUGUGUUGUAACCUUUAAUUAGCCAAGUGUACUUUACGGUCUAGAAAGAACGCGGCGAAUGUAGAUCAGUGAUCGCGUGGAAAGGAGAAAACGUUAACAGACAACGACUAACCUUCGCGCAGGAAACUAAAACAUAUGGACCCAAAAACCGCUAGCAAAAAAGAUGUACGAUGUAAUUGUGCAACUAGCUCGGAAUGACGCAAAAUAUCGGCAUGGAAGAUAUUACAAGAGGCAAAAACAAGAAAUGCGAAUUAUAAUCAGAAACAUAUGUAUUUCGUUACAUGUGUAUUUCGUAUCAUAUAACUGAUUAUGUUUAACAGUACAUGUUUCUCAAGAUGUUCUUAAUUGCAACAUGUACGUGAAAACGAAAUGUCAGAAAUAUGUUUCACAAACAUC